rnacentral:rRNA from 1 species
CCUACGGGGGGCAGCAGUGAGGAAUAUUGGUCAAUGGCCGGGAGGCUGAACCAGCCAAGUCGCGUGAGGGAAGACGGCCCUACGGGUUGUAACCCUCUUUUGUCAGGGAGCAAGGUGCAGGUCGGGACCUUCUGUGAGAGUACCUGAAGAAAAAGCAUCGGCUAACUCCGUGCCAGCAGCCGCGGUAAUCCGGAGGAUGCGAGCGUUAUCCGGGUUUAUUGGGUGUAAAGGGUGCGCAGUCGGAGGCACAAGUCAGCGGUAAAAUCGCGGGGCUCAACCCCGCUCCGCCGUUGAAACUGUGGGCCUUGAGUGCGCGAAGGGUAGGCGGAAUGCGUGGUGUAGCGGUGAAAUGCAUAGAGAUCAUACAGAACACCGAUUGCGAAGGCAGCUUACCAAGCUAUAUCUGACGUUGAGGCACGAAAGCGUGGGGAGCAAACAGGAUUAGAUACCCCAGUAGUC